UUAAGAUAGUAAGAGCAUACGGCGGAUGCCUUGGCGAUAUCUGCCGACGAAGGACGCGACAAGCUGCGAUAAGUCACGGGGAGGUGCAAAUGACCGUUGAUCCGUGAAUUUCCGAAUGGAGCAAUCCGGCUGUGGUUAUGCACAGUCACCCAUGCCAUUGAGUAUGGGAGGGAACCGGGCGAACUGAAACAUCUAAGUAGCCCGAGGAGAAGAAAUCAAACGAGAUACCCCAAGUAGCGGCGAGCGAACGGGGCAGAAGCCCAAACCGGAGAAGGAAACUUUUCCGGGGUUGAGGACCGUCAGACGAUAAGGAAGCCCAGCCGAAUCCCUUGGGAAGGGGAGCCGGAGAAUGUGAAAGCCAUGUAGGCGAAGGGCGGAUAAGGACAGACGGCACCAGAGUACCGCGGGACACGAGAAACCCCGUGGGAAGCCGGGGGGACCACCCUCCAAGGCAAAACACAGAUAUCGACCGAUAGCGCAUAGUACCAUGAGGGAAAGGUGAAAAGCACCCCGGGAGGGGAAUGAAAGAGAACCUGAAACCGUAUGUUUACAAGCAGUCGGAGACCGUAUAUAUACCAGGUCGACGGCGUGCCUAUUGAAGAAUGAACCGGCGAGUUAUGAGGUCCAGCAAGGUUAAGCAGGAAAUGCGGAGCCGAAGCGAAAGCGAGUCUUAAUAGGGCGAUAAGUUGGAUUGCAUAGACCCGAAACCACAGUGAUCUACCCAUGUCCAGGCUGAAACACAGGUAAAAAUGUGCGGAGGGCCGAACCUAUAUCCGUUGAAAAGGGUUAGGAUGAGGUGUGGGUAGGGGUGAAAUUCCAAUCGAACGUGGAGAUAGCUGGUUCUCCCCGAAAUAGCUUUAGGGCUAGCCUCGAGGUAGAGAUUGCAGGCGGUAGAGCACUGAUCAGGAGAGGGACCUACCCGGUUACCAAACCCAGUCAAACUGCGAAUGGCUGCAAUUAUACUCGGGAGUCAGACUACGACUUAUAAGGGCCGUGGUCAAAAGGGAAACAGCCCAGAUCAUCAGCUAAGGUCCCAAAUGCCGUGCUAAGUGGCGAAGGAUGUGGCGUUUCAUAAACAACCAGGAUGUUGGCUCAGAAGCAGCCACCAUUUAAAGAGUGCGUAAUAGCUCACUGGUCGAGAGACGCUGCGCCGAAAAUGUCCGGGGCUCAAGCACGGAACCGAAGCUAUGGCAUGACAGCAAUGUCAUGGGUAGGGGAGCGUUCUUAUAAGGAAGAAGCAUUACCGUAAGGAGAUGUGGACAUAUAAGAAGUGAGAAUGCCGGUAUGAGUAUCGAAAAGAAAGGUGAGAAUCCUUUCCACCGAAAGCCCGAGGGUUCCUGAGCAACGAUCGUCGACUCAGGGUAAGUCGGGACCUAAGCCGAGGCGGAGACGCAUAGGCGAUGGACAACAGGUUGAAAUUCCUGUACCGGAUGGAGUCAUUUGAGCAAAGGAGCGACGCAGGAGGGCACAUGAUCGCGCGGCUGGAAGAGCGCGUCCAAGUGCGUAUGCGUAGAGGGAGGCAAAUCCCCCUUUACAGAAGCAGAGACAUGAUGGGGAGUUAAAGGAGACUUUGACGAACUCAUGGAUCCCACACUGCCAAGAAAAACUUCUAGCGAGACGAAAUCCGCCCGUACCGUAAACCGACACAGGUAGGCGGGGAGAGAAUCCUAAGGUGCGCGGGAAAACCCUCGUUAAGGAACUCGGCAAAUUGCAUCCGUAACUUCGGGAGAAGGAUGACCCUGAGUAGGCGAAAGGGAGAAACCCCCGGAACAGAAAAGGGUGGCAGAAAAGAGGCCCAAGCAACUGUUUACCAAAAACACAGGUGCCUGCGAAAGCGAAAGCUGAAGUAUAGGUGCUGACGCCUGCCCGGUGCUGGAAGGUUAAGGAGAGAGGUCAGCGAAAGCGAAGCUUUGAACUGAAGCCCCAGUGAACGGCGGCCGUAACUAUAACGGUCCUAAGGUAGCGAAAUUCCUUGUCAGGUA
rnacentral:rRNA from 1 species